GAUGAACGCUGGCGGCGUGCCUAAUACAUGCAAGUCGAGCGAACGGACGAGAAGUUUGCUCCUAUGAUGUUAGCGGCGGACGGGCGAGUCACACGUGGAUAACCUACCUCUAAGACUGGUAUAACUUCGGGAAACCGGAGCUAAUACCGGAUGAUAUUUUGAACCGCAUGGUUCAAAAGUGAAAGACGGUCUUUCUGUAACUUAUAGAUGGAUCCGCGCUGCAUUAGCUAGUUGGUAAGGUAACGGCUUAACAAGGCAACGAUGCAUAGCCGACCUGAGAGGGACGAUGGCCACACGGGAAGAGAGAAAGAGCCGAGACUCCUACGGUGAGACGCAGUAGGGAAUCUUACGCGAUGGGCGAAAGCCUGACGGAGCAACGCGGGGGAAGGGAUGAAGGUCCUCGGAUCGGAGAACUCUGUUAGUAGGGAAGAACAAAUGUGUAUGUAACUGUGCAGAUCUUGACGGUACCUAAUGAAAAAGCCACGGCUAACUACGUG
rnacentral:rRNA from 1 species